GGGGUUGUGGCUCAGUGGUAGAGUACUCACCUAGCAUGCAUGAGGCACUGGGAUCAAUCCCCAGCACCACA
rnacentral:tRNA from 1 species